rfam:Fukomys damarensis contig160396, whole genome shotgun sequence.
GUAGCACUCACUUCGGCACCACAUAUACUAAAAUUGGAACGAUGCAGAGAAGAUUAGCAUGGCCCCUGCACAAGAAUGACACGCAAAUUGGUGAAGCACUCCAUAUUUCU